AUGUACCACUCGUACACUCCGGUUCCUGCGAGCCGUCCGCGCCCACCUGACAGCUGCUCGCUACGUUUUGUUAGCC
rnacentral:sRNA from 1 species